UCGCUCUUCCGCUUUCCGGCCAAAUCUUCCGCUCGUCGGCGUCGCGGGCGGACGACGCGGCGGUCGAAGAGCGCCGACGGCUCGGGUAAGUUUCAGCGUUUGCGUGCGUGAGCGCCGAGACGCGGCAAGCUCGCAUCCAAACGACUGACUCGGCCCGUCUCCGUUGCGCGCCCCCUCGUCGGCCGGCCAAUUCCAAUGCGACGCGACGCAAAAAAUGUUGACCCGCCAAAUGCGCGCGGCCGCCGACUAUUUGGCCUUCACGUUCCUCCAAGACGUUGGGCAAAAUGAAGCCGUUACUCGCGGUGGUUUGCGUCGUCGGCGCUUCCUGUUUUCGGGCUCUCAGCUGUUUCAAAUGACCGCUGAUCGUUUGGGGCUUCUCCGGACGCUUUGCUUUCCCUGGCUUGGAGACUCGGGAGGCGCUUCCAAAACGGAUUCGAUUGGGUUAGUUACCCGUUUCCCAAAUGUAUUCCAAGUACCAGAAUAGUAAAGUCGUGCGACUUGAAGGCGUCAUUACUUUUGGAUUACCCGCUACAAACCAAAAACACCAUCUCACCAUCCGUCCUUUGGAGUCACUCCCCAAACAGCAAGCCAAAGCCGUCACGUCCCAAUGCAACCGCUGAGCCGUCGGCCAACAAAGAAAGACCUUCCCGUGGGGACGACCGCUGAGCUCGACGCUUCAUUUCGGCCAAGUUGCCAACGCCAGCGGACGGCUGAUCGAGGACUCCGCCGCUCGCAUUCCAAAAGCCUGAAACGUUUUUACCCAGAACCCCAACGUGCUCUUGACUGGGACGGCGCGCUGGACCGGUUGCCAGCCCAUCGAGACAAAGACGCUUUCACACGAGGGCAAUUUGGGAGGCCGUUUGGAGAAUGCGGCGAGGGAACAUCGCAGCCUUGGCUCGAGCUGUACAGUCAGACUCGUUUUUUUUCCUGGUUGAAAUCUUUUUUUUAUUUGAACGACGUCGAGGGUCUGAAAGACGACGAGGAUGGCUCGGACCGCCGUUGAUUCGCCGGGUGCGAGAUGGCCCUCAAUUCUUCCACCGGAUUUGCUGAAAGGGGA